rnacentral:siRNA from 1 species
GCCGUCGGUGCAGAUCUUGGU